GACGAACGCUGGCGGCGUGCCUAAUACAUGCAAGUCGAACGCAGUGGGGACGGGUGAGUAACACGUGGGUAACCUACCAUCAGAGGGGAUAACACUUGGAAACAGGUGCUAAACCGAUACUGAUGGAUGGACCCGCGGUGCAUUAGCUAGUUGGUGAGGUAACGGCUCAACAGGGCCACGAUGAAUAGCCGACCUGAGAGGGUGAUCGGCCACACUGGGACUGAGACACGGCCCAGACUCCGACGGGAGGCAGCAGUAGGGAAUCUUCGGCAAUGGACGAAAGUCUGACCGAGCAACGCCUCGGGAAUGAAGAAGGUUUUCGGAUCGUAAAACUCUGUUGUUAGAGAAGCGGUAUCUAACCAGAAAGCCACGGCUAACUACGUGCCAGCCGCCGCGGUAAUUA
rnacentral:rRNA from 1 species